UUUCCUUUCUCUUAGUUAUUUGAUAUGUCCAUCUCCAAUCUGACAUAAAAACAUGUCUGAUCAUGGGGAAAUAUCUUAGUUUGAAACAGGUGAAAGUUGGUAACAAGAUGGCCAUCUGGACAGAGAAAAUCCACCUCA